CCUACGGGAGGCUGCAGUGAGGAAUAUUGGGCAAUGGACGAGAGUCUGACCCAGCAAAGUAGCGUGAAGGAUGACUGCCCUAUGGGUUGUAAACUUCUUUUAUAAAGGAAUAAAACGAGGCACGUGUGCCUUUUUGCAUGUACUUUAUGAAUAAGGAUCGGCUAACUCCGUGCCAGCAGCCGCGGUAAUACGGAGGAUCCGAGCGUUAUCCGGAUGUAUUGGGUUUAAAGGGAGCGUAGAUGGGUUGUUAAGUCAGUUGUGAAAGUUUGCGGCUCAACCGUAAAAUUGCAAUUGAUACUGGCAGUCUUGAGUACAGUUGAGGUAGGCGGAAUUCGUGGUGUAGCGGUGAAAUGCUUAGAUAUCACGAAGAACCCCGAUUGCGAAGGCAGCUUACUAAACUGUGACUGACAUUGAGGCUCGAAAGUGUGGGUAUCAAACAGGAUUAGAUACCCCUGUAGUC
rnacentral:rRNA from 1 species